UGAGCAACCUGCCCUUAGCUCUGGGAUAACCCCGGGAAACCGGGGCUAAUACCGGAUGCUCCGGUCGAACCGCAUGGCUCGAUCGGGAAAGCUCCGACGGUCUGGGAUGGGCCCGCGGCCUAUCAGCUUGUUGGUGGGGUAGUGGCCCACCAAGGCGACGAUCCGUAGCUGGUCUGAGAGGAUGAUCAGCCACACUGGGACUGAGACACGGCCCAGACUCCUACGGGAG
rnacentral:rRNA from 1 species